CGAAACCGUCCUUUCUUCCAGUAAGAACAGGAUAAGAUGGUGCCCCUGCCUGUUUUUACAUCCACAUUACAUUAGAAAAUGGUGGUCAAAUUUUACCAAAUGAACAGCAUCCCUGGUAGCGAGGUUGAGGAUGUCAGCACAGGAGACAACUCCUUUGCACUCUUUCCGGCUUUCAAGAACAGUCUUGAUCUUGUCAAUUAGGGCAAACCCUCCAAGCCCCCGAUUCUGUGAGGCAGUUUUCUCUGAGUUUGGUCCAUCCAGGAGGAUCGACGCGUCACAACCCUAGAUUGCAGGCACAGUAUAACCCCCAUGAGAAUCAUAGAUGAUCCAAAAUACUACAUACAGAAGUAUAGAUACAGUUUUCUCUAUAGAAUUGAAACUUGGCCGCCCAAAGAAACAAGUCUUCUUGAGUCCUCAAAAAUAGAUUCAGGUCCUAAACCUAUCAUCACUCCAACUACAGGAUAUUGUCAUAUAAGAAAAACCGAAAAGUAGUAGGAGAAACACAUACAUUUACAAAGCAAUCCGAGUAGAGCAACCUUAGGAGCUUAGGGGCAAUGCUCCCAUCCUUGAGCUUGUUCCAGUAAAACUCCACUUGGCUCCUAACAUACGCCUCUGCAUACCUACAAGUAGUAUUAAGCUUGUAGUAGUGCCAUGUCAGCUUCGUCUCGGGCAACGUCUCAGCAGCCUCCACCGUCACCAAGCUCGCGACGAGAGCCGUUAGAGCAAGGAGCGAAAAAAGAAUGCAUCGUUCUCGUCUCAUUUCUCUCCCCCUUUGAGCUCUUAUCAAUUUAGCUUGUAUCAACUCUGUGUGUACUCCUGUUAUUGGGAUCAUAUUACUAUGGACUUUGUUAUAUAGGUUCUAAGCGUCACUGACGUGGUCGAUAAUGACUGGUUGGAUGAAUUCAAAAAUAAUGAUAAUUUAAUGUGAUUUUAUUAUUUUUCAUUAUUUAUUUUAAA